UACAAAGUCCUGCUGGAGACAAUCCAUACCCAAAGAGACGGUUCUUCCUGGACACCCUCAUUUGAGGAAUUUGCUGAAAGGUGGUUGGAGAUACUGCAAAGAACAAAGCUGACAGGCUGGAUGUGUGGUUUUCAGGGAAUUCAGAUACAGGUGGAGCUACCUGAAGCUGAUGGCUAGGCUGAAGGCUCAGGCACAGUGGCUACAGGAGGAGACAGAGAAUCAAAGAAGCCGGAAGCUGGUGGUGGAAGCAGAGGCCCAGAAGGAACAGAGUGCAAAAGAGGCAAAAAUGAGGAAAGUCAAGAGAGGAGCAGGUCUCCACUGGUUCAAAGACACACAGGCCCAGGAGAUCAUGCAGGAUGAUGAGGCCUUUCCAAGCUGGCUUCAUGGCAUGACCAUCUGGAGGAGCAAAGGCAGCUGCAGACACUACAUGAUCCAGAUGCAGCCCAAUGCAUGUUAUGUCAUCCUGGGGGAAGACGGAGCUCACACCUCACUCACCAAGCUGGUUCUGUAUCACCAGACUGUGAGCAUCCAGCCCUUUAUGGAGAUAUUGGCUGUUCCCUGUGGGCAGAAAAGUAGUGAGAGUUUGGAUUACAAAGAUCUGGAGUGCUUCAGGCUGGGUCCACCAGCAGUCAAGAGGGAGACCCCUCCAGAGGAGCAGCCCUGCACCUCCACCAGCAGACCUGUUCCACAGUCAGGAGGAGCAGCCGCAGUUCUCAGACACCUGUGUUUCAGGAGGACCAAGGAUUGCCAAAACCAACAGAGCCUGGAUAAGAGUAAGACAAAGCAAAGCUUAGGCAAGGAGAGAGGCAGCCAACAAGCCUUCACUCACCUCCAUUCUUCCAGACGUCUAGUGAUGCAGGAAAUCUAGCAGGUUAGCUGGGGCAUAUCCUCUGCCAAGCCUUGCUGCCCAUGGCCACUCUGGGACACGUGGAGCUGCCCUACCCAGGGGCAGGAGAGAGGAGGCUUCCACAAGUAGCACUCAAUUUCCCAACUCUAGGGUCACAGGUUUUAUUUGGCAGUCUUGGGUCAAGGCUGUGUUCACUGGAAGUGCCAGGCUGGGGGAGACCAUGGGAGAGGCUUGCUGAGAUCCCCAAAGAAAAUUCCACAACAGAAGGGGCUGUGAUGUGGCCAGUGUCCCAGCCACUGCUCCCGUGAUACUGUCUCUCUUCUUCUCACUGCAGGUUUCUUCCACUCUGUACAGAAAUAUUGUCAUGCUCUCAACACUGAGGAUGUUGAACCCAAGCGACACGUUUUUGCUGCACCCAGCUGGCCCUGUGCC